CAGUCGCCGCGGGAAUACGUAGGGUGCGAGCGUUAAUCGGAAUUACUGGGCGUAAAGCGUGCGCAGGCGGUUGCGUAAGACAGGUGUAAAAUCCCCGGGCUUAACCUGGGAACUGCGCUUGUGACUGCACAGCUAGAGUAUGGCAGAGGGGGGUGGAAUUCCACGUGUAGCAGUGAAAUGCGUAGAGAUGUGGAGGAACACCGAUGGCGAAGGCAGCCCCCUGGGCCAAUACUGACGCUCAUGCACGAAAGCGUGGGGAGCAAACAGGAUUAGAUACCCCGGUAGUCCCUGUCUCUUAUAC
rnacentral:rRNA from 1 species